UACGGAGGGGGCGAGCGUUAUUCGGAAUUAUUGGGCGUAAAGGGCGCGUAGGCGGCUGAACAAGUCAAAGGUGAAAUCCCUCGGCUCAACUGAGGAACUGCCUUUGAAACUGUUCGGCUUGAGGCCGGGAGGGGGUAGCGGAAUUCCCAGUGUAGCGGUGAAAUGCGUAGAUAUUCGCAAGAACACCAGUGGCGAAGGCGGCUCACUGGCCCGAUACUGACGCUGAGACGCGAAAGCGUGGGUAGCAAACAGG
rnacentral:rRNA from 1 species